GGGAUCCUUGGACUGUUUCCUCCGAUUACUAUUUUAGGAUUCUUUAUAGAUUCUUUUUUCCUGUGAGGUGGAGGAUUUUUACAUCAAUAUCCCUCUCAAUUGUGCAUCUAUAAAAGAAUCAUAUCCAGGGAAGUGGGACCACUUUAUUACAUUAAGGCCGAAAGAUCUAUUGAAUCAACAUUGAGAGACAACUUGGACCAUAAUCCUUUGAAAAAUCAAUGUAUUGUAUUGUCUAGUCCAACUCUAUGUGCUUUUUGUCAUUGUGCUUUAUCUAUGCUUACAUUUUGUG